CCUACGGGAGGCAGCAGUGGGGAAUUUUGGACAAUGGGCGAAAGCCUGAUCCAGCAAUGCCGCGUGCAGGAUGAAGGCCUUCGGGUUGUAAACUGCUUUUGUACGGAACGAAACGGUUCGCCUUAAUAUGGUGGGCUAAUGACGGUACCGUAAGAAUAAGCACCG
rnacentral:rRNA from 1 species